rnacentral:tRNA from 1 species
AAUGAAUUGCCUGAUAAAAGGGUUACCUUGAUAGGGUAAAUUAUGAAAUUUAUGGUUUCAUUCAUUA